CCCUUAGACGUUCUGGGCCGCACGCGCGCUACACUGACGAAGGCAACGAGCUUUCCUUUACCGAAAGGUACGGGUAAUCUUUUGAAGCUUCGUCGUGCUGGGGAUAGAUCCUUGCAAUUUUUGAUCUUAAACGAGGAAUGCCUAGUAAGCGCAAGUCAUCAACUUGCGUUGAUUACGUCCCUGCCCUUUGUACACACCGCCCGUCGCUACUACCGAUUGAAUGGUUUAGUGAGGCCUUCGGAUCCGCGACUCGUUUUGUGGAGAAGUUGGACAAACUCAGUCAUUUAGAGGAAGUAAAAGUCGUAACA
rnacentral:rRNA from 1 species